rnacentral:rRNA from 1 species
UACGAAGGGGGCUAGCGUUGCUCGGAAUCACUGGGCGUAAAGCGCACGUAGGCGGCUUUUUAAGUCAGGGGUGAAAUCCUGGAGCUCAACUCCAGAACUGCCUUUGAUACUGAGAGGCUUGAGUCCGGGAGAGGUGAGUGGAACUGCGAGUGUAGAGGUGAAAUUCGUAGAUAUUCGCAAGAACACCAGUGGCGAAGGCGGCUCACUGGCCCGGUACUGACGCUGAGGCGCGAAAGCGUGGGGAGCGAACCGG